rnacentral:rRNA from 1 species
AUUGAACGCUGGCGGCAGGCCUAACACAUGCAAGUCGAGCGAGCGGCGGACGGGUGAGUAAUGUAUGGGGACUGCCCGAUAGAGGGGGAUAACUACUGGAAACGGUAGCUAAUACCGCAUACUAUCGGAUAACCCAUAUGGGAUUAGCUAGUAGGUGAGGUAAUGGCUAACCUAGGCGACGAUCCCUAGCUGAUCUGAGAGGAUGAUCAGCCACACUGGGACUGAGACACGGCCCGAACUCCUACGGAGGCAACAGUGGGAAGUAUUGGACAAUGGGCGAAAUCCUGAUGCAGCCAUGCCGCGUGUAUGAAGAAGGCCCUAGGGUUGUAAAGUACUUUCAGUCGGGAGGCGUUACCGACAGAAGAAGCGCCGGCUAACUCCGUGCCAGCAGCCGCGGUAAUUC